GCUCUUUGGUGAUUCAUGAUAACCUAACGGAUCGCAUGGCCUUGCGCCGGCGACGGUUCAUUCAAAUUUCUGCCCUAUCAACUUUCGAUGGUAAGGUAUUGGCUUACCAUGGUUUCAACGGGUAACGGGGAAUUAGGGUUCGAUUCCGGAGAGGGAGCCUGAGAAACGGCUACCACAUCCAAGGAAGGCAGCAGGCGCGCAAAUUACCCAAUCCCGACACGGGGAGGUAGUGACAAUAAAUACUGAUACAGGGCUCUUUUGGGUCUUGUAAUUGGAAUGAGUACAAUUUAAACCCCUUAACGAGGAACAAUUGGAGGGCAAGUCUGGUGCCAGCAGCCGCGGUAAUUCCAGCUCCAAUAGCGUAUAUUAAAGUUGUUGCAGUUAAAAAGCUCGUAGUUGAAACUUGGGUCUGGCUAGCGGGUCCGCCUCACCGCGUGCACUUGUCCGGCUGGACCUUUCCUUCUGGAGAACCUCAUGCCCUUCACUGGGUGUGUUGGGGAACCAGGACUUUUACUUUGAAAAAAUUAGAGUGUUCAAAGCAGGCCUUUGCUCGAAUACGUUAGCAUGGAAUAAUAGAAUAGGACGUGCGGUCCUAUUUUGUUGGUUUCUAGGAUCGCCGUAAUGAUUAAUAGGGAUAGUCGGGGGCAUCAGUAUUCAAUUGUCAGAGGUGAAAUUCUUGGAUUUAUUGAAGACUAACUACUGCGAAAGCAUUUGCCAAGGAUGUUUUCAUUAAUCAGUGAACGAAAGUUAGGGGAUCGAAGACGAUCAGAUACCGUCGUAGUCUUAACCGUAAACUAUGCCGACUAGGGAUCGGGCGAUGUUUCUAUCUUGACUCGCUCGGCACCUUACGAGAAAUC
rnacentral:rRNA from 1 species